rnacentral:rRNA from 1 species
UACGUAGGGGGCAAGCGUUAUCCGGAUUUACUGGGUGUAAAGGGAGCGUAGACGGCGAAGAAAGUCUGAAGUGAAAGCCCGCGGCUUAACCGCGGAACUGCUUUGGAAACUUUUUUGCUGGAGUACCGGAGAGGUAAGCGGAAUUCCUAGUGUAGCGGUGAAAUGCGUAGAUAUUAGGAGGAACACCAGUGGCGAAGGCGGCUUACUGGACGGUAACUGACGUUGAGGCUCGAAAGCGUGGGGAGCAAACAGG